rnacentral:rRNA from 1 species
UGGCGGACGGGUGAGUAACGCGUGGGUAACCUGCCUCAUACAGGGGGAUAACAGUUAGAAAUGACUGCUAAUACCGCAUAAGACCACAGCACCGCAUGGUGCAGGGGUAAAAACUCCGGUGGUAUGAGAUGGACCCGCGUCUGAUUAGGCAGUUGGUGGGGUAACGGCCUACCAAGCCGACGAUCAGUAGCCGACCUGAGAGGGUGACCGGCCACAUUGGGACUGAGACACGGCCCAA